AUGGUCUUCAUUAAAUUUAUAUUCUCUUAUAUUUAUAUUCUCUUAUACUGUUCCUUGGGGCUUCCCAGGUGGCUCAGUGGUAAAGAAUCUGCCUGCCAAUGCAGAGGACAUGGGUGCAGUCUUUGGGUCAGGAAGAUCUUCUGGAGGGGGAAAUGGCAACUGGCAUACUGGAGUGGGCAGCCAGGGGAAACCACACCAGCAACCUCCAAGGACAGAGAAGCCUGGUGGGCUACAGUCGGUGGGGUGAUAAAGAGUUGGACACGGCUGAGCAUGCAUCGUCAUACUGUUCCUUAUAGUACUGGGGUCCAGCAUGGGUGGAGAGACUGGAGAGGAGUUAUACCUGUUGGGGGAACCGUGGAGGUUGCUGGUGUGGUUUCCUCUGUGAGACUGUCAUUGCUCACUCUAUCCUCCUAGGGACAAUUUCUUAGUGUAGGAAACCAGCAAAUUCUUUGCCCUGAAGUUGGGGUCAAACAUCACCCCAACCUCUUCCUCUUCCCACUAAUUAUAACUGAACAGCAGGUGCUUAGGUCUGAGAGGGGCCCACUGAGUCUCUGAUCUCCACUCUGCGUGGCUCUUCACCAGGAAGUCUCUCGUGCUCAAGAAUUGCAGCUCUCACCCAUCCUCAAUCCUUAAUUCUGUAUCUUCUCCCUUUCUCUUUUCUUGUUUCACACUGAGUUUCUCUAGUAUCACUGUCUUUCACUCAGCUUCAUGGUCUGUCCUGGGACUGACCUUUUCAUCACGAGGAGCAGCCCCCAAACCACACUCAGAAACCACAAUUCCUUCUCUUGUCCUCACAGAGGCACUAAGUAGAGAAAUAAGCCUUAAUUAAUUGGAGACUCCCUCUUCUUUAAAAGCCAUCAUUGCUAAUCUUGAACUUCUCAGUGGAAUGGAAUCUUGAGAAGUCAGUCCUUUAGUUGUUGUUGUUCAGCCGCUGAGUCCAUGUGACCCCAUGGACUACAGCCCGCCAGGCUCCUCUGUCCAUAGGACUUCCCAGGCAAGACCACUGGGGUGGGAAGCCAUUUCUUUCUCCAGGGGAUCUUUCCGCCGCAGGAACUGAGCUGAGUCUCUCGCGCUGGCAGGGGGAUUCUUUACCACUGUGCCACUAGGGAUGCCCAAUCCUUUAGUUAUGUCACCUUUAAAUAAUUACAUAGUGAGUUUAUCCGAAGAACUCAGAAUUCUGCCCCAAGCCACUAGGGUUUGUAGUCCAGGUGCUAAUCAUCCUAACGUCACCUGAGUACCUUAUACCUUGAGAAGCAAGAAUGAUAUUCUAAUAAAGGAAUUUGAUGGCUUAAAGUGCCACCGGUUAAACGUGAAAGUCUCCAUCAGUACCAAAGCUAAGAGCCUUUGUCAAAUUACAUGCUUUUAAGUUAAACACAUGGAUGUGAAAAUAUCUAUGAAAAUCUCCAUGCAUUUUAAUGACUUAGAGUUAUUAACCUGAGGUUUGAAAUCCUCUUCAAAUGUGUACAUUUUUCUAGUGCAAAGGUUCAUCACUUUCAUCAGCUCCUUAAAGGGUUUGUGGCCUCCAAAAGGUUUAGGAACCUCUAAGUUAGGGGAAAGAUAAGAUUAAAAUCACAAUAUUAUUAUGUCAUGUAUUUCUAAAUGUAAUACAUAAAAACAGCAAAUAACUUCCAUUUCAGCAAACAGCAAAAAAAAAAUGUUGAAUACUGUAAAUAAUCACAAUAUGAUUAGUAACUAUGUUUAAACACUAAUAUAGACAAUAUUAUUCUAGCAUUUUAUCUGUCGACGAGUAUUUACCUGAAUAUACAUAAAACAAGUUUAUCAGGAAGAGAGAAGUUCAUAUACAGAUUUUAACCUACACUGAAAAUUACCAAUAGAUUUAUUUCCACUAUUGUUUAAAACAAAACUUCAAUCAGGUAAUUUAAAGGCAAUAUGAAUACAAAUAAAAUCAGAAUUUAAAUAGUUCCUCAAUUACAGUACCUAUUGUCUUACCCUGGAUAAGAAAGAUAAAUUAUUGUACCUGCUUUAUAAAAGAUUGAUUAAAAGAUACACUGUGGAAACCCCUUUCAUAGUCAAUUUCUGCAGCCAAAAUCCAAAUUCAGAGCCCCAAUUUUUUAAGCCAGGCCCCAUUCAGAGUAUUCCAAGAAUAGUUCUUCAACUACUGAAAAGCAUCACUUUCAUAAAUGUGUCUAAGAAACGGAUUUUUAAAAUUAGCAAGUUUGCAAGAGCAAACCUAUCAAGUUAUUGUACACACUGUUCUUUUUUACAUUUGAAAUGUAACUUCUUUAUCCAGUCAUUCAACAAAUAUUUAUUGAACCUCUGCUACAUGCAAGCCCUGCUCAAGAUGACAGAGUUAUAGCGGUGAACAGCACAGACCAAAAAUAUAUAACAAUACAUAAACAUAUCUUCAUUAGAAAACAAUCAGAUACAGAAGCUCAUAGGAUUAAAAAAGUCAAAGUUGUCCUCCUGGAGGUCUGCUCCAUCUCAGUUCUUCUUCUGCAAUAACUACUACUAACAGUACUUUUCCAGACUUUUUAUUUACAUAGAAUAUCUUAGGUGGUAGAACAGCUUUACAGACUGUAUAUAUGUAUAUACACAGUGGAAAUUCCCUGGUGCUCCAGGGGUUAGGACUUGGUGCUUUCAAGGUUUGAUCCCUGCUUGGGGAACUAAGAUCCCUAAGAGCCAGCAAGCUAUGCAGUGCAGCAAAGACAAGCAAACAGAAAAAAAAAACCACUUGUGAAAAGUGUACAAUUAAAUGAUUUUGAGUAUAUUUGUAGUUUUCUGCAACCAUCAUCAAUCUAGGUAAGUGGAUUUUAAAAUUAUAAAUACAUGAAUUGUAUUAUAAUUUAUUUUAAAAUCCACUUACCUAGAUUACAGUGUUAUACAGGUAUAACUGUCUAUGAGCAAGGGGAUCAAGCCAGUCAAUCCUAAAAGAAGUCAACCUUGAAUAUUCAUCGGAAGGACUGAUGCUGAAGCUGAAGCUCCAAUACCUUGGCCACCUGAUGGAAAGAGACGACUCACUGGAAAAGACCCUGAUGCUGGGAAAUACUGAGGGCAGGAGGAGAAGAGAGCAACAAAGGAGAUGGUUGGAUGGCAUCACCGACUCAACGGACAUGAGUUUGAGCAAGCUCCAGGAGAUGGUGAAGGACAGAGAAGCCUGGCGUGCUGCAGUCAUUGGGGUUGCAAAGAGUCAGACACGACUGAGAAACGCAAAAACAACAAUUUUUCACUUAGGACUAAACCUUGAAGGUGUUCUCUCAAUAUCGGCAUAGACAAAUUUUGCGAUUUCUUUCUGCAAAGAGAGGAAUGUGUCCUCUCUCCAUCUCCUUUGUCAGAUUUCUUAGAAAAAGGCUGCUGACAAUGGCAAUUAGAUAUAACUGAGAAUGGUAACCCUAUGAUUUCAAUAGAUGGAGAGAAAUUAGCCAAUACACAGAAUGUCUUGAGAGUCCAAAAAUGAACUGGGAAAAAAAAAAGGGUACAGAAAAUAAUGUAAAACACACAAAAAGCUGGCUAUUUUGAGCAUCUUCAAGUAAUAACAACAUUAAUAGCUAACACACACACAGUAACUCUUUAAGUCCUCACAAUUCCAUGAAGUAGGUACUGUUAUGAUACCCGCUUUACAGAUGUGGAGACUAAGGCACAAAAGAUCAUCUCUCCACUAACUAAGCUGAAAAGAGGCUACAUAGGGCUUCACCAUUUCUGUUCUUUAUCGAGCCCAUCUUUGCAUGAAAUGUUCCCUGGUAUCUCUAAUUUUCUUGAAGAGAUCUUUAGUCUUUCCCAUUCUGUUCUUUUCCUCUAUUUCUUUGCACUGAUCGCUAAAGAAGGCUUUCUUAUCUCUUCUUGCUAUUCUUUGGAACUCUGCAUUCAGAUGCUUAUAUCUUUCCUUUUCUCCUUUGCUUUUCGCUUCUCUUCGUUUCACGGCUAUUUGUAAGGCCUCCCCAGACAGCCAUUUUGCUUUUUUGCAUUUCUUUUCCAUGGGGAUGGUCUUGAUCCCUGUCUCCUGUACAAUGUCACGAACCUCAUUCCAUAGUUCAUCAGGCACUCUAUCGGAUCUAGGCCCUUAAAUCUAUUUCUUACUUCCACUGUAUAAUCAUAAGGGAUUUGAUUUAGGUCAUACCUGAAUGGUCUAGUGGUUUUCCCCACUUUCUUCAAUUU
ensembl:lincRNA